ACGAAGGGGGCUAGCGUUGUUCGGAAUUACUGGGCGUAAAGCGUGCGCAGGCGGCUUCUCAAGUCAGGGGUGAAAGCCCAGAGCUCAACUCUGGAAUUGCCUUUGAGACUGAGUGGCUUGAGUACGAGAGAGGUGAGUGGAAUUCCUGGUGUAGCGGUGAAAUGCGCAGAUAUCAGGAGGAACACCGAUGGCGAAGGCAGCUCGCUGGGACGGUACUGACGCUGAGGCACGAAAGCGUGGGGAGCAAAAGGGA
rnacentral:rRNA from 1 species